CGGCCCGCACAAGCAGCGGAGCGUGUGGUUUAAUUCGUUGCUACACGAAGAACCUUACCUGGGUUUGACAUAAUGGUGGUAGGGAUCCGAAAGGUGACCGACCCUUCGGGGAGCCAUUACAGGUGUUGCAUGGCUGUCGUCAGCUCGUGUCGUGAGAUGUUCGGUUAAGUCCGCUAACGAGCGCAACCCUCGCUGUGUGUUAUAUGUGUCACACAGGACUGCUGGUAUUAAAGCCGGAGGAAGGUGGGGACGACGUCAAGUCAGCAUGACCUUUAUAUCCAGGGCUACACACACGCUACAAUGGUCAGUACAAUGGGUUGCCAAGCCGCGAGGCGGAGCCAAUCCUAAAAAGCUGGCCUCAGUUCAGAUUGCAGUCUGAAACUCGACUGCAUGAAGUCGGAGUUGCUAGUAAUCGCAGAUCAGCAACGCUGCGGUGAAUACGUUCCCGGGCCUU
rnacentral:rRNA from 1 species